rnacentral:rRNA from 1 species
UACGUAGGGCGCAAGCGUUGUCCGGAAUUAUUGGGCGUAAAGAGCUCGUAGGCGGCCAGUUGCGUCCGCUGUGAAAUCCCGGGGCUUAACCCCGGGCGUGCAGUGGAUACGGGCUGGCUAGAGGCAGGCAGGGGAGAACGGAAUUCCCGGUGUAGCGGUGAAAUGCGCAGAUAUCGGGAGGAACACCGGUGGCGAAGGCGGUUCUCUGGGCCUGUACUGACGCUGAGGAGCGAAAGCUCGGGGAGCGAACGGG